rnacentral:rRNA from 1 species
UUGACGGGACCGCACAAGCGGUGGAUGAUGUGGAUUAAUUCGAUGCAACGCGAAAACCUUUACCUACCCUUGACAUGUCCGGAAUCCCGAAGAGAUUUGGGAGUGCCUCGCAAGAGAACCGGAACACAGGUGCUGCAUGGCUGUCGUCAGCUCGUGUCGUGAGAUGUUGGGUUAAGUCCCGCAACGAGCGCAACCCUUGUCAUUAGUUGCCAUCAUUUGGUUGGGCACUCUAAUGAGACUGCCGGUGACAAACCGGAGGAAGGUGGGGAUGACGUCAAGUCCUCAUGGCCCUUAUGGGUAGGGCUUCACACGUCAUACAAUGGUCGGUACAGAGGGUUGCCAACCCGCGAGGGGGAGCUAAUCCCACAAAGCCGAUCGUAGUCCGGAUCGCAGUCUGCAACUCGACUGCGUGAAGUCGGAAUCGCUAGUAAUCGUGGAUCAGCAUGUCACGGUGAAUACGUUCCCGGGUCUU